AUUGAACGCUGGCGGCAGGCCUAACACAUGCAAGUCGAGCGGAUGAAGGGAGCUUGCUCCUGGAUUCAGCGGCGGACGGGUGAGUAAUGCCUAGGAAUCUGCCUGGUAGUGGGGGAUAACGUCCGGAAACGGGCGCUAAUACCGCAUACGUCCUGAGGGAGAAAGUGGGGGAUCUUCGGACCUCACGCUAUCAGAUGAGCCUAGGUCGGAUUAGCUAGUUGGUGGGGUAAAGGCCUACCAAGGCGACGAUCCGUAACUGGUCUGAGAGGAUGAUCAGUCACACUGGACCUGCGACUCGGUCCAGACUCCUACGGGAGGGAGCAGUCGGGAAUAUUGGACAAUGGGCGAAAGCCUGAUCCAGCCAUGCCGCGUGUGUGAAGAAGGUCUUCGGAUUGUAAAGCACUUUAAGUUGGGAAGAAGUGCAGUAAGUUAAUACCUUGCUGUUUUGACGUUACCAACAGAAUAAGCACCGGCUAACUUCGUG
rnacentral:rRNA from 1 species